rfam:Nomascus leucogenys chromosome 13, whole genome shotgun sequence.
ACCAGGCAUUGUGUCACGUGUGUGUAGUCCCAGCUACUCAGGAGGCUGAGGCAGGAGGAUUGCUUGAGCCCAGAAGUUCUGGAUUGAAUCCGUGCACUAAGUUCAGAAUCAAUGUGCUGACCUCCUACAAGAGGAGGGACCACCAGGUUGCCUACGGUGGAGUGAACCAGCCCAGGUCAAAAAUGGAGCAGGUGAAAACUGUCAUACUGAUAGCAGUGGGAUCAUACCUGUGAACCGUCACUGCACUCCAGCCUGGGCAACACAGUGAGACCCCAGCUCUU